AACGAACGCUGGCGGCAUGCCUAACACAUGCAAGUCGAACGAGACCUUCGGGACUGGUGGCGCACGGGUGCGUAACGCGUGGGAACCUGCCCUUAGGUUCGGAAUAACUUCCCGAAAGGGGUGCUAAUACAGGAUAAUGUCUUCGGACUACUUAUUUAUCUUCUUUGGAUGUGCCCGAGUUGGAAUAGCUAGUUGGUAGUUUAAAAGCCUACCAAGGCGACGAUCCAUAGCUGGUAUGAGAGGAUGAUCAGCCACACUGGGACUGACACAAGGCCCAGACUCCUACGGGAGGCAGCAAUGGGGAAUAUUGGACAAUGGGCGAGAGACUGAUCCAGCAGGGCCGCAUGAGUGAUGUAGGCCUUAGGGUUGUAAAGCUCUUUUGAACGGGAAGAUAAUGACAGUACCGAGAGAGUAAGCUCCGGCUAACUCCGUG
rnacentral:rRNA from 1 species